UAUUAAAACUUUAAUCGAUUUAUACUAUUAAAAAUUGGCGUGAGUAAUAAAAUAUUAAAUAGUUAGACGUGGGGUGCCACAUAUAUCUCAUGCUGAUAUAUGGGAUCGGCUUUUUUAACAAUAAAAAUAAAUGAAAUUUUUAGCA
rnacentral:pre_miRNA from 1 species